CGCGAAUGGCUCAUUAUAACAGCUAUAAUUUACUUGAUCUUGACACAAUCCUACUUGGAUAACUGUGGUAAUUCUAGAGCUAAUACAUGCAUUAAAGCUCUGACCUCACGGGAAGAGUGCAUUUAUUAGAACAAAACCAAGCGGCUUCGGCUGUUUCUGGUUGACUCAUAGUAACUGAGCUGAUCGCACGGUCUCGCACCGGCGACGUGUCUUUCAAGUAUCUGCCGUAUCAACUUUCGAUGGUAGUGUAUCUGACUACCAUGGUGAUCACGCGUAACGGAGAAUAAGGGUUCGGCUCCGGAGAGUUCGCCUGAGAAAUCGCGAACACAUCUAAGGAAGGCAGCAGGCGCGAAAAUUACCCACUCUCAGCACGAGGAGGUAGUGACGAAAAAUAACGAGACCGUUCUCUUAUGAGGCCGGUCAUCGGAAUGGGUACAAUUUAAACCCUUUAACGAGUAUCUAUGAGAGGGCAAGUCUGGUGCCAGCAGCCGCGGUAAUUCCAGCU
rnacentral:rRNA from 1 species